AGCUCUUCUCGAGUGGUUGAGUACUCAUGCUCUGUUGUUCUUGAGUAUAGUGAUUCAAACCCUUUGAAUAGGAAGAUCUGAUGA